AUUGAACGCUGGCGGCAUGCUUUACACAUGCAAGUCGAACGGCAGCGCGGGCUUCGGCCUGGCGGCGAGUGGCGAACGGGUGAGUAAUACAUCGGAACGUGCCCAGUAGUGGGGGAUAGCUCGGCGGAAGCCGGAUUAAUACCGCAUACGACCUGAGGGUGAAAGCGGGGGAUCUUCGGACCUCGCGCUCUUGGAGCGGCCGAUGGCAGAUUAGCUAGUUGGUGGGGUAAAGGCCUACCAAGGCGACGAUCUGUAGCUGGUCUGAGAGGACGACCAGCCACACUGGGACUGAGACACGGCCCAGACUCCUACGGGAGGCAGCAGUGGGGAAUUUUGGACAAUGGGCGAAAGCCUGAUCCAGCAAUGCCGCGUGUGUGAUGAAGGCCUUCGGGUUGUAAAGCACUUUUGGCGGGAACGAAAAGGACUGUGCCAAUACCACGGUUCGAUGACGGUACCCGCAGAAUAAGCACCGGCUAACUACGUG
rnacentral:rRNA from 1 species